GCGCACGUGGCGGAAUUGGUAGACGCGCUAGCUUGAGGGGUUAGUGACCACUAGGUCGUGGAAGUUCGAAUCUUCUCGUGCGCA
rnacentral:tRNA from 1 species